AUUAGAUGAUGAAUCUAUCCAGAACCUGAUUUCAUGUGAAUGAAACUCGUAUACGGAUCUGACUGCUGAUAU
ensembl:snoRNA